UACGUAGGGGGCGAGCGUUGUCCGAAGUUACUGGGCGUAAAGCGCGCGUAGGCGGGGGAUUAAGUGAGAGGUGAAAGGCUGGGGCUCAACCUCAUGCAGUGCCUCUCAUACUGGUCUUCUUGAGGGCGGUAGGGAGAAGUGGAAUGGCUGGUGUAGCGGUGAAAUGCGCAGAUAUCAGGAGGAACACCGGUGGCGAAGGCGGUUCUCUGGGCGUGUCCUGACGCUGAGGAGCGAAAGUGUGGGGAGCGAACAGG
rnacentral:rRNA from 1 species